rnacentral:rRNA from 1 species
UACGUAGGGACCAAGCGUUGUUCGGAUUUACUGGGCGUAAAGGGCGCGUAGGCGGCGCGGUAAGUCACUUGUGAAAUCUCUGAGCUUAACUCAGAACGGCCAAGUGAUACUGCAGUGCUAGAGUGUGGAAGGGGCAAUCGGAAUUCUUGGUGUAGCGGUGAAAUGCGUAGAUAUCAAGAGGAACACCUGAGGUGAAGACGGGUUGCUGGGGCAACACUGACGCUGAGGCGCGAAAGCCAGGGGAGCAAACGGG